rnacentral:rRNA from 1 species
CGAUGCUAAUACCGCAUAACAACGUUGUUCGCAUGAACAACGCUUAAAAGAUGGCUUCUCGCUAUCACUUCUGGAUGGACCUGCGGUGCAUUAGCUUGUUGGUGGGGUAACGGCCUACCAAGGCGAUGAUGCAUAACCGAGUUGAGAGACUGAUCGGCCACAAUGGGACUGACACACGGCCCAUACUCCUACGGGAGGCAGCAGUAGGGAAUCUUCCACAAUGGGCGCAAGCCUGAUGGAGCAACACCGCGUGAGUGAAGAAAGGUUUCGGCUCGUAAAGCUCUGUUGUUAAA